UACGUAGGUGGCAAGCGUUGUCCGGAUUUAUUGGGUUUAAAGGGUGCGUAGGCGGCCCUGUAAGUCAGUGCUGAAAUAUCCCGGCUUAACCGGGAGGGUGGCAUUGAUACUGUAGGGCUUGAGUAGAGUUGAGGUUGGCGGAAUUGACGGUGUAGCGGUGAAAUGCUUAGAUAUCGUCAAGAACACCGAUAGUGUAGACAGCUAACUAAGCUCUAACUGACGCUGAGGCACGAAAGUGUGGGGAUCAAACAGG
rnacentral:rRNA from 1 species